rnacentral:rRNA from 1 species
UACGUAGGUGGCAAGCGUUGUCCGGAGUUAUUGGGCGUAAAGAGCUCGUAGGCGGUUUGUCGCGUCUGCUGUGAAAACUCGGGGCUUAACUCCGGGCCUGCAGUGGGUACGGGCAGACUAGAGUGCGGUAGGGGAGACUGGAAUUCCUGGUGUAGCGGUGAAAUGCGCAGAUAUCAGGAAGAACACCCGUGGCGAAGGCGGCUCUCUGGGACGGUACUGACGCUGAGACGCGAAAGCGUGGGGAGCAAACAGG